CGAAAUGAUAUGAUCGCCAGGAUUUCAAGUUAUUGGUACGUACAACGAAUCUGCAAAUCUUUGUCCGAACCGAGCAAUCUGUAUAAAACGAUAAACGAUCGAAGCAAGUUUUCCGAUCGAGUAAUAUACGAACCUUUCAGAAGCGGAAACUGGUCAACUCCUCUGUAUAUUAAAUUUCUUAAUUUCAUUACACGAACGCUCGAUCGAUAUUCAAGUUUCAAGAAACAAAUUACUUACCGACGAAUUAUUUAGAUGGCACAAGUAAUGGUAUACUGUAAGGUAAAUUUCAGAAACACGUAGUUUAAAGCGAGAAGCUGAGGAGUGAACACGACGUCUUGAAAACUGGUUUUAACCCUAAAGACCGCGGCUCGUUUAAGAAUGUCACGAUUUUAUUAAACGCCGCCGUGUCGAACGAAAGACAACUUGUCCGAUCGCGGCCUGGCCGCCUGUUUGUAACGUCCAUUGCUUCUACGUACUUACUUUUCAAUUUAUGCGAUUGAUCAAUGUGACUUCUGAAACGCUUGAUUGCUACGCACGAUACGUUUUCUCGAGAGUGGGGUAAAAAUCGGUCUGUUUGAUUUGAUAAAAGCUUGCAAGCGUAGUUUGUAGACGGACGUGAAGGGUCCGUGGCAAUUGGCGAUCGUUGGUGAUCGUUGGUGAUCGUCGGGACACGUGGCAAAGCACGCGAACGACGGAAUGUGAACCGUUGGAUGUAGCUAGUAGCGACAAAGACGUCUUGAACUCUAUCUCGACGACAUUCCACUGCGAGAAUCGCUUACUGAUUGUCUACUGUGUCGAGAGGCGAUGAGUUGGAUCGCGCGAGGUUUAUUUCGCCAGAUUAUGAACGAAAAGGCCGUGUAUACGAUGGAUGCGUAUUCGGGCGAGCUAACCGGUCUGGCGAAUGAAACGUCCGAAGAUUGCAAUGCGUAAGCUCGUAAAAAUCUGUUAUACCGUAAUUCAAAAAAAAGUAUUCGAACAUCCUUCGAAACUCUUUGCGUAUAUAUGGUGCAAAAGAUCUUGAAAUCGUAUUAGCACCGCAACGAGACACGAGUAUCCUGACCAUGUUGGUAAAAUUUGAAACGGAUCUGAAAAUGUGUUCGAGGGCAGAUUGAUAAGCUUCCGCAAUGACGAUGACGAAACAAAUAAAGCAACAUACAGCGGUGAUUUCGGUAAUUUCUCAAUCGUACGAGAUACUUGUUGGAAAUAGGUUAAAUGUUAGGUAUAUCGAUUUAAAUGCGAUAUUAUUUUCUGUUAAUUCGUUCUGAUAAUUGUCGAGAGAACUGGCGCCGCACAAUUUACUGGACAGUGUUUUAUGCGUUAAUAAUCUCUAGAAUCGAUGCUCCUUGCGUCACAUUUAUCUUACAUUUCAUUAAUCUGUCAACCGAGCAAACUCAUCGCUAGGAUUACGAAUCUGUCUGGUACGUUAACUCCGAUUUGAUUAAUAGGUCAACUCUGCCACGUGAAUUUUAUGUACUUUGCCCUGGCAGUUGCAAUGGACUUAAAUAUACCGUACCGUAACGUUUCAUUUCUGCAAAAUAUUACACUCGGCCAUUUUUUCCCGACGAUGCGAUCCAAGUCGUUGCUGAAAAUUGUUUAGUCCAUAACAUUCAUCUCGUCUUAAUCGUUCUAAUGAAUUUAAAGAUGACGCGAUGACCACCAUGACGAUCGAAGCGUGUGUUAAAACACACAUUAUCUGGCGUUUAUGAAAACCACUAUAUACAGAUCGGAUACUUUUCAUCGCAGCAUCUGUUCAUAAAGCUCCAUCAGCGCUCAACAAUCGGAGCGAUCUCUUUGUCAGGGUGAGGCGAUUGCAUUUCUCACGAUUUCCCGCGAUAAUUUCGAGAAUUGUAAUCAAUCGGGCUCGACCUCGCGGUCGACUGACGUAUUAAACUCGUCUCGAGCGAACCGAGAUGCUGAUCGUUGACUGGCACCAAUCGGGUCGGGUUCACGCUAGUCUCUUGGUUGGCCUCGGGAGCCCGCGGCCGGUUUAACGCGGAGAAACAUCGCCGAGGAAUUCAGAUGACGCGUGAUUCACUACAUCUUCUAACCCUUUCACUCGGCACGUUGCUUUGGCACAUAAAACGUAACGCAACUUUCGGCGACAAAGCCAGGCAACUUUUUUUUCUUAAUUUUUCUCCGCGUUGUAAUGUCCUCACCCUCUGUUGCAUCCACAGUAAUAUCUCGCUCCGUGCAUACAAUGGCUACCAAAAAUAUUUGCGCAUACCCUUACUUUCAAACGAAACGUUUUCUUUACUCUCGUCAUUUCUCGAAACUAUUUUCGUCAAGAGGAAUUCUAACGAGUCACGCGUAACACAUAUAACAAACGCAACCGUCAUAGCUAUUUCACGCUGAAAUAGAGUUCCGGCUACACAAGAGGCCAGAUUCGUCUCGUGCCACAGCAAAAAUUGAUCGUCCGUUUAUGACCUGGACAGCGCAUCUGCGCUUUUUUUGGGGGGAAAAUCCGAAUUUCCUACCUCCCAAGUAAACUUUACGAUGCGGACCUCAUCAAGAGGCUAUUUAACACCCUAAGGGCUCCUUGGGUCCGCUCUAAAAUACACAUCUGGUAUCAAUGUGCUCCAUCAGAGAAUAUGUGCCCACGAGGGUACACAAUUACAAGACUGGAAGGAAUAGAUUUUCCUCCCAUAAAAAACAUGGUAAGAAGGAAAGCCCGGGGAGGGAGAGUUAGUAUAUAAGGACCAAGCGAGGCUUCUUGAGAAUUCUUAUAACGAUCUUCGUCAGAGCGUCAUACUGUUCGUGUUACUAAACAGUGCAACUAAAUUAACUAAACAUAAUAUUAUUCUGCAUCUUAACUUGCUGGCGAUUCUCUUGGUGUAUAUUAAAGAGUGAAAAUAAAUAAACUAAACGCACU